GCCGAGGUAGGGGGGUGUGGGAGGGCGCUGCACCUCGCUCCCGCUGCUGCUCGCCUCCUCCGCUCCAGCACAGCCUGACCCUCCUCAGAAUGACCUCCCCUGACCCCUCAACGCACAGCCCAUCACACCAGCCUUCACACACAGGCUAGAGCUUGGGCCUUGGGGAGUCCCCAACCCAGCUCUGGCCCCUGGAGCCAUGCCAAGAGCAGGUGCCAAACUCUGCCAGUGCAGAAGGAGAUUGACUCCCAGUAGCUCCAUCUAUGAAGAAGGAAGACGGAGGGUGAAGACAGGGGCAGGGGAAGCUUCUAGAAGAACUGAAAGGGGCCCCGUGCCGGGCACACCGACUGAGAGGGAGGUAGAUGAUGCAGCCAGAAAAAGCCACAA